rnacentral:rRNA from 1 species
GACGAACGCUGGCGGCGCGCCUAACACAUGCAAGUCGAACGAGCGAGCGAGAGCUUGCUUUCUCGAGCGAGUGGCGAACGGGUGAGUAACGCGUGAGGAACCUGCCUCAAAGAGGGGGACAACAGUUGGAAACGACUGCUAAUACCGCAUAAGCCCACGACCCGGCAUCGGGUAGAGGGAAAAGGAGCAAUCCGCUUUGAGAUGGCCUCGCGUCCGAUUAGCUAGUUGGUGAGGUAACGGCCCACCAAGGCGACGAUCGGUAGCCGGACUGAGAGGUUGAACGGCCACAGUGGGACUGAGACACGGCCCAGACUCCUACGGGAGGCAGCAGUGGGGAAUAUUGCACAAUGGGGGAAACCCUGAUGCAGCGACGCCGCGUGGAGGAAGAAGGUCUUCGGAUUGUAAACUCCUGUUGUUGAGGAAGAUAAUGACGGUACUCAACAGGGAAGUGACGGCUAACUACGUG